rnacentral:lncRNA from 1 species
GGAGAAAUUUUUGAUUUAUAUGCAUGUAUUAUUUAGAGCUCAUAUUUGUGAUUUUUAGAAUAUGCUAUAAUUUUUUGGAUGCUAUGUUUCGUAUUAGUCAAAGAAAUUGAUAUGAGGUUAGAGGAAUAAUUUCAUAGUUUAGUCCUUUACAAAUAUGAGCUAAAUAAAUUAUGGAAAAAAUAUAAUUUGUUUAUAUUUUAGUCAUUUGCAAUAUGAGCGAGAUAAAUUGUGUUACAUAGAGAUAAUAAGAUGAAAGAGAGGUAUGUAAUUAGUCAUUUUUAGAAUAAACUACAAUGGAGAAAAAUUUCAUUUAUGUGUUAUGUGUGAGCUAAAUAAAUUGUGAGGAAAAAUAUAAUUUGUUCAUAGUUUAGUCAUUUGCAAAUAUGAGAUAAAUAAAUUAUGGUACAUAGAGAUGGUUACUGCUGCCGGAGGUAGUGACAAUGGUGGGGGCGAUCGUCAUUCCUCUUGGGCAAGGGGAAACCCAUAGUUGGCCCUCAUGAUAAAUCAAAGAAAAUAAGGACGUGGGAGAGAGUAAUGCUUCGUUAUUUGGAAAGAUGUCAUGAAGAUGCUGUUGCGGCGGGUUAGGAAACUCCUUUUGGUGGUCGUUAUGCUCCACCAUCAGUCCUAGGGGUUUCAGGUCCACUUAGUAAUACCAUCAUAGGAGGCACAAAUAAAUCACAGGAUGAGGCUAGGUCAGCGAAACCUUUGUCUUCGC